UACGUAGGCAGCAAGCGUUUGUUCGGAGUUACUGGGCGUAAAGAGUGCGUAGGUGGUGCCCUAAGUCUGUUGUGAAAUCUCCCGGCUUAACUGGGAGGGUGCGGUGGAAACUGGGGUGCUUGAGUGUGGGAGAGGUAAGCGGAAUUCCUGGUGUAGCGGUGAAAUGCGUAGAUAUCGGGAAGAACACCCGUGGCGAAGGCGGUUCUCUGGGACGGUACUGACGCUGAGACGCGAAAGCGUGGGGAGCGAACAGGG
rnacentral:rRNA from 1 species